rnacentral:rRNA from 1 species
CAGCAGCCACGGGAAAACGUAGGGCGCAAGCGUUGUCCGGAAUUAUUGGGCGUAAAGAGCUCGUAGGCGGUCUGUCGCGUCUGGUGUGAAAUCCCGAGGCUCAACCUCGGGCUUGCAUCGGGUACGGGCAGACAGAGUGCGGUAGGGGAGACUGGAAUUCCUGGUGUAGCGGUGGAAUGCGCAGAUAUCAGGAGGAACACCGAUGGCGAAGGCAGGUCUCUGGGCCGCAACUGACGCUGAGGAGCGAAAGCAUGGGGAGCGAACAGGAUUAGAUACCCCAGUAGUCCCUGUCUCUUAUACA